UACACUGAUUAGUAAUCAGUGACAUUUGGCACUACUUUUAGACUUUAUCAAUUUCAUACACACAUCUUACCCAGAGCUCUCUACAUAUUCCAAGCCAGUAAACAAUCAAAUUAAUAUUUCAUUUACUGUUUCAGUACAGAGAAGGCACAAAAAUUUAUGAGACUGAAAUUUUGUUUCAGUGUGUAAAACACACAUGGAAAGGGCACACACAUUCUGUAGUAUAAUAAAUGGAAUUGGACUCAUUCCCAACAAAAUUAAAGUACGGUUGUGUUCUACAAGGUAUCUCGAAACUUUACCAUCAAGUUCCCCACCCAGCCAUCAGCUAAAUAUGUUUUAAACCUGAAAAGUACUGCUCUUUUAAUUUGAUAAGAGUAAAGCAUAAUAUUACAGACGACGACUAAAGCCUUACUGACAAACUUUAACACAAGGAAAUAGUGCUGCAAAGGAAUAAGCAAAUGGGCGCUAUGACCAAAAUCAACAUUGCCUGUGAAACUGACUGAGACUGAAUUGGAUGAAAAGGAGAGUCCCUCGUCUGCCCAUGCAUAAUCUCUCAGAAGACCAACCCCUCAUCCCAGCUGUGGGAGACGAGCAACACUGCAAAGUAGGGGAUGACCUACAGGGGUGAAGUACAGCGGGAACUUCGAGUGUAGCUGCACGUGUGUGAGCGCACAGUGUUGAGUGCAAUCUGUAUAGCUCUGUGUCAAUUUUACUUCAUUCUUCAUUUAUAUUUUAGUUACAUAAAUUACAAUUUAUAUUAUAAAAUGGGUGACACACAAAAAUGAUUAAUAAUAAUAAUAAUAAUAAUAAUAAUAAUAAUAACAGUAGACAAAGUGUUAUG